CGAUAGCGGAUAGUACCGUGAGGGAAUGGUGAAAAGUACCGCGGGAGCGGAGUGAAAUAGUACCUGAAACCGUGUGCCUACAAGCCGUGGGAGCGUCGGACAAGCACUUGUGCUUGUCUCGUGACUGCGUGCCUUUUGAAGAAUGAGCCUGCGAGUUUGCGGUGUGUUGCGAGGUUAACCCGUGUGGGGAAGCCGUAGCGAAAGCGAGUCCGAAUA
rnacentral:ncRNA from 1 species